GGCGGACGGGUUAGUAACGCGUGGGAAUAUGCCCUUCACUACGGAAUAGCCUCGGGAAACUGAGAGUAAUACCGUAUACGCCCUUUGGGGGAAAGAUUUAUCGGUGAAGGAUUAGCCCGCGUCUGAUUAGAUAGUUGGUGGGGUAACGGCCUACCAAGUCGACGAUCAGUAGCUGGUUUGAGAGGAUGAUCAGCAACACUGGGACUGAGACACGGCCCAGACUCCUACGGGAGGCAGCAGUGGGGAAUCUUAGACAAUGGGCGCAAGCCUGAUCUAGCCAUGCCGCGUGAGUGAUGAAGGCCUUAGGGUCGUAAAGCUCUUUCGCCAGAGAUGAUAAUGACAGUAUCUGGUAAAGAAACCCCGGCUAACUCCGUGCCAGCAGCCGCGGUAAUACGGAGGGGGUUAGCGUUGUUCGGAAUUACUGGGCGUAAAGCGCACGUAGGCGGAUUAGAAAGUUAGGGGUGAAAUCCCGGGGCUCAACCUCGGAACUGCCUCUAAAACUCCUAGUCUAGAGUUCGAGAGAGGUGAGUGGAAUUCCAAGUGUAGAGGUGAAAUUCGUAGAUAUUUGGAGGAACACCAGUGGCGAAGGCGGCUCACUGGCUCGAUACUGACGCUGAGGUGCGAAAGUGUGGGGAGCAAACAGGAUUAGAUACCCUGGUAGUCCACACCGUAAACGAUGAAUGCCAGUCGUCGGGUAGUAUACUGCUCGGUGACACACCUAACGGAUUAAGCAUUCC
rnacentral:rRNA from 1 species